GACGAACGCUGGCGGCGUGCUUAACACAUGCAAGUCGAACGGAAAGGCCCUGCUUUUGUGGGGUGCUCGAGUGGCGAACGGGUGAGUAACACGUGGGUAACCUGCCCUUGACUUUGGGAUAACUUCAGGAAACUGGGGCUAAUACCGGAUAGGAGCUCCUGCUGCAUGGUGGGGGUUGGAAAGUUUCGGCGGUUGGGGAUGGACUCGCGACUUAUCAGCUUGUUGGUGGGGUAGUGGCUUACCAAGGCUUUGACGGGUAGCCGGCCUGAGAGGGUGACCGGCCACAUUGGGACUGAGAUACGGCCCAGACUCCUACGGGAGGCAGCAGUGGGGAAUAUUGCACAAUGGGCGGAAGCCUGAUGCAGCAACGCCGCGUGCGGGAUGACGGCCUUCGGGUUGUAAACCGCUUUCGCCUGUGACGAAGCGUGAGUGACGGUAAUGGGUAAAGAAGCACCGGCUAACUACGUG
rnacentral:rRNA from 1 species